rnacentral:rRNA from 1 species
GUGGGGAAUUUUGGACAAUGGGCGCAAGCCUGAUCCAGCAAUGCCGCGUGCAGGAAGAAGGCCUUCGGGUUGUAAACUGCUUUUGUACGGAACGAAACGGUCCUGGUUAAUACCUGGGGCUAAUGACGGUACCGUAAGAAUAAGCACCGGCUAACUACGUGCCAGCAGCCGCGGUAAUACGUAGGGUGCGAGCGUUAAUCGGAAUUACUGGGCGUAAAGCGUGCGCAGGCGGUGCUGUAAGACAGGCGUGAAAUCCCCGGGCUCAACCUGGGAAUUGCGCUUGUGACUGCAGUGCUGGAGUACGGCAGAGGGGGAUGGAAUUCCGCGUGUAGCAGUGAAAUGCGUAGAUAUGCGGAGGAACACCGAUGGCGAAGGCAGUCCCCUGGGCCUGUACUGACGCUCAUGCACGAAAGCGUGGGGAGCAAACAGGAUUAGAAACCCUGGUAGUC